rnacentral:rRNA from 1 species
UGACAACAUAGUUCAAUGGCCGCGGUACCCUGACCGUGCAAAGGUAGCAUAAUCACUUGCCCCUUAAUUAGGGGCUGGCAUGAAAGGACACACGAAAGCUUCCCUGUCUCACAAUAACAAAUAAAAAUUAAUCUUCAAGUGAAAAAGCUUGAAUAAAAUUGCAGGACAAGAAGACCCCGUUGAGCUUUAUUCUCUAUAGACUAAAUCAAAUAUUAAAUACAUCAUAAACCUAAAAAGAAUUUAGUUGGGGUGACUAAGGAACACCGAAAACUUCCUUUUAUUAAUUAGGAUCAUUCUCCAUACAAAUUGACCCAUUACACAUGAUCAAAAAAAUAAGCUACCACAGGGAUAACAGGCUAAUCUUUCUCAAGAGCCCAAAUUGUCAGAAAGGAUUGGCACCUCGAUGUUGGCUUAGGGGCCCCUAAUGGUGCAGAAGCCAUAAAUGGUAGGUUUGUUCAACCUUUAAAACCCUACGUGAUCUGAGUUCA